GAACUCGUGGCGCAACGGUAGCGCGUCUGACUCCAGAUCAGAAGGCUACUUGUUCAAAUCACGUCGAGGUCA
rnacentral:tRNA from 1 species